ACUUAAAUAAUUUAAUUAAAAUAUUGAUUUGUGGUAUCAAAAAUAUGAGAAAAGUCAUUUUAAGUU
rnacentral:tRNA from 1 species